rnacentral:rRNA from 1 species
GACGAACGCUGGCGGCGUGCUUAACACAUGCAAGUCGAACGGUAAGGCCCUUUCGGGGGUACACGAGUGGCGAACGGGUGAGUAACACGUGGGUGAUCUGCCCUGCACUUUGGGAUAAGCCUGGGAAACUGGGUCUAAUACCGGAUAGGACUACGCGAUGCAUGUCGUGUGGUGGAAAGCUUUUGCGGUGUGGGAUGGGCCCGCGGCCUAUCAGCUUGUUGGUGGGGUGAUGGCCUACCAAGGCGACGACGGGUAGCCGGCCUGGGAGGGUGUCCGGCCACACUGGGACUGAGAUACGGCCCAGACUCCUACGGGAGGCAGCAGUGGGGAAUAUUGCACAAUGGGCGCAAGCCUGAUGCAGCGACGCCGCGUGGGGGAUGACGGCCUUCGGGUUGUAAACCCCUUUCAGCACAGACGAAGCGUAAGUGACGGUAUGUGCAGAAGAAGCACCGGCCAACUACGUG